rnacentral:lncRNA from 1 species
CAAACCGAUCAUGCUUCCCGCUACCGCCCUUUCUAACAAGUGUGUUACUUUGGUGUGAACUUAUUUUUUUACUGUGGACAAUACUUAUGAGAUACUAUACACACCACAACGGCAGGACCUGCCUUCUGGGUUCUCACCAGAGCACGGUGGAACCACUUCACAGCGUUGGAAGUGAGGGUAGAAACAACACUCCCCUCCAGAAUCGACCUUGUUAUGGAGGAACAGCAUGGCUGCUGUGUUUACAGAAAGCCGUUCUGACGGGAGUGUUGGGUGCGGUGCAGGUGAGCUGUGUGACUGUGGAGCCCUGGUCUUAGAGCACUGAGUCUUACUGACCGCUCCCUCCGCCAUCGUGGAAUACGUUUUGGCGCUGGAGACUGAAACCUGUUCAAACAAAAUGACUUCCUCAGUUUGGGCAUUUUCCAUUCUUGCUAAAUGGAAGAAAAACCUUUUCCUUAUAUGGCUGAGAAAGCCUAGCAAAAUACGUCUUGAAGAUCCAGAACUGAGUCACGGCCCAAGUCACUCAGGGAAGUCCUAUACUUUGCACAAGGUACACACGGCAGUGCUGCCCGCGGCGGCCUUUCGCCUCUUCUAACUUGACUUUUCAGGGUCUUGGCAUCUGAGCACUGGUAUUCACUGCCCUUGGAUGCCUGGAGCUCCUCAAGAGGCCAUUGUCUCCCUGUGGGGCAUCUGCUGGACAUUCCUGGAGACACGGCCUCCUCG